rnacentral:rRNA from 1 species
AUUGAACGCUGGCGGCAUGCCUUACACAUGCAAGUCGAACGGCAGCAUGAUCUAGCUUGCUAGAUUGAUGGCGAGUGGCGAACGGGUGAGUAAUACAUCGGAACGUGCCCUGUAGUGGGGAAUAACUAGUCGAAAGAUUAGCUAAUACCGCAUACGACCUGAGGGUGAAAGGGGGAGACCGCAAGGCCUCAUGCUAUAGGAGCGGCCGAUGUCUGAUUAGCUAGUUGGUGAGGUAAAGGCUCACCAAGGCGACGAUCAGUAGCUGGUCUGAGAGGACGAUCAGCCACACUGGGACUGAGACACGGCCCAGACUCCUACGGGAGGCAGCAGUGGGGAAUUUUGGACAAUGGGGGCAACCCUGAUCCAGCAAUGCCGCGUGUGUGAAGAAGGCCUUCGGGUUGUAAAGCACUUUUGUCCGGAAAGAAAUCGCACUUACUAAUAUUAGGUGUGGAUGACGGUACCGGAAGAAUAAGGACCGGCUAACUACGUGCCAGCCGCCGCGGUAAAAC